UACGAAGGGGGCGAGCGUUGUUCGGAUUUACUGGGCGUAAAGGGCGCGCAGGCGGUCUUGAAAGUCAGGCGUGAAAGCCCCGGGCUUAACCUGGGAAUUGCGCUUGAUACUCUGAGACUGGAGUACGGGAGAGGAGAGUGGAAUUCCCAGUGUAGAGGUGAAAUUCGUAGAUAUUGGGAAGAACACCGGUGGCGAAGGCGGCUCACUGGCCCGUUUCUGACGCUCAGGCGCGACAGCGUGGGGAUCAAACAGG
rnacentral:rRNA from 1 species